rnacentral:rRNA from 1 species
UACGUAGGGCGCAAGCGUUUGUCCGGAAUUAUUGGGCGUAAAGGGCGCGUAGGCGGUCGUGUGCGUCAGAGGUGAAAUCCCCCGGGCUUAACCCGGGAGCUGCCUCUGAUACGGCAUGGCUUGAGUCCGGGAGAGGGGAGCAGAAUUCCCAGUGUAGCGGUGAAAUGCGUAGAUAUUGGGAGGAAUACCGGUGGCGAAGGCGGCUCCCUGGACCGGUACUGACGCUGAGGCGCGAAAGCGUGGGUAGCAAACAGG